rnacentral:rRNA from 1 species
UACGGAGGGUGCAAGCAUUAAUCGGAUUUAUUGGGCGUAAAGGGCGCGUAGGCGGAUUAUAUAAGUCAGAUGUGAAAGACCGAGUCUCAACCUCGGGAUUGCAUUUGAAACUAUAUAUCUUGAAGAUAAACGGAGAAAAUGGAAUUCCACAUGUAGCGGUGAAAUGCGUGGAUAUGUGGAGGAACAUCGGAGGCGAAAGCGAUUUUCUAGUUUAAACUUGACGCUGAGGCGCGAAAGCAAAGGGAGCAAA